CCUCCCAUGGAUAGCUUAUAUCGACAGAUGGCUAUUACAAUCCGUCGAUUCGUUAUUGGCACACUUGUUACAACAUUUGGAUUAAGAUGGUGGAUUAUGGAUCGGAAGUCCCUUGGAUCUGGUUGGUCUUUUACGAACGAGAAAACCAGAUUGCUUGCGGUUGCAAAUGUAAAGAAAAUAAAACUGUCAAACAAGCCGGGAAAGCCCUAAGAACUACGGAAAAAUUCCGCAAUAUACUCAUGUAAUUUCCCAUCUUGAAACUUGUUUUAUAAAAAGGCAUAUAUUUAUUACCUCCUCUAAUCUUUCCUACUUUUCCUAUAUGUGAAGAACUGGUAAUACCAUCUAAUAAACUUGAAACUUGUAAAUAA